rnacentral:rRNA from 1 species
AUUGAACGCUGGCGGCAGGCCUAACACAUGCAAGUCGAGCGGAUGAAGGGAGCUUGCUCCUGGAUUUAGCGGCGGACGGGUGAGUAAUGCCUGGGAAUCUGCCUGGUAGUGGGGGAUAACGUCCGGAAACGGGCGCUAAUACCGCAUACGUCCUGAGGGAGAAAGUGGGGGAUCUUCGGACCUCACGCUAUCAGAUGAGCCUAGGUCGGAUUAGCUAGUUGGUGGGGUAAAGGCCUACCAAGGCGACGAUCCGUAACUGGUCUGAGAGGAUGAUCAGUCACACUGGAACUGAGACACGGUCCAGACUCCUACGGGAGGCAGCAGUGGGGAAUAUUGGACAAUGGGCGAAAGCCUGAUCCAGCCAUGCCGCGUGUGUGAAGAAGGUCUUCGGAUUGUAAAGCACUUUAAGUUGGGAGGAAGGGCAGUAAGUUAAUACCUUGCUGUUUUGACGUUACCAACAGAAUAAGCACCGGCUAACUUCGUG